rnacentral:rRNA from 1 species
CUCCUACGGGAGGCGGCAGUGGGGAAUCUUGCACAAUGGACGAAAGUCUGAUGCAGCAACGCCGCGUGGGGGAUGGAAGCUUUUCGGAGUUGUAAACCCCUUUCGACCCGGAAGAAUGCCCGCAAGGGUUUGACGGUACGGGUAUAAGAAGUCCCGGCUAACUACGUGCCAGCAGCCGCGGUAAUAC